CUGUGAUCAAAAGGCAAGGGGUUAUAAAUAGAACCUCCACACCAGACCAAAAACCCUAGCUGCCAGCCGCUCGCCGGAGAAGACGAACCAGAGGCCGACCGCCGCCACCCGCCGCCACUCGCCGCCGCACCGGGGAAAUUUUCGACCGCCGAUUGAGGUAAAUUUCAUACCCCCGACUCGUUUUUCCCCGCUGAUUCCUCCUAUGGCCAAAUCGAGGCCGAAAUCCUGGCCAAACGGCCGGAAUACGCGGCCGAAGCCCAGCAGCGCCGCCGCGCCCCCUCUCGGUUUUUGCCUCCGACGAGGCCCUUCCCGGCCUCCGUUCGAUGCAAUUUUUAUAUCACCGUGAUCACCAUUCUUUUCUCUACAGGUUGACUGGAGCCGAAUCACCAAAACACGAACCUCGCCGGAGAGCCGCUGCACCCGAGAGCGCCGCCGCCGGUAAGCUCCGUUUUUCCGUGAUUUUUUUGGCCCCCCGAGGGCCCUAGGGCUGUUUUCUGACAAGGACCAAUGCGAGUGUGGCCGAAUUCGGCCGAAAACGGCCGAAAACAGUCAACCCGAGGCGACUCGCCGCCGCCAGCGGCGGCGCCGUCGCCGGAGCACGGCGGAGCCGCCGUGCCGGAGUUGCGAUUUGGGCCGAAGGAGGCCCUGGGCCUAAUUUGGAUUUUUUUUGGAAUACGUGCAGGUACUGUUAGUGUGUUUCAGUUUCCCGGAAAAAAAUUCAGGGAAAAUUAGGGACAGCCUGCAGGCGCACUGUGAAUCGUAUUCGGAUCCCGAAAACAGGUAAGGACCCCUCACCCUAUUUCCUAUCACGGUAUUAAAGUUCAAAAUAAUAAAACGGUAUUUCUUGAAUUAACGCAUGUGUGAAAUUGCUUAAGGUUGCUAAUGGAGCCCGAGUCUAGUGUGAUUGAUGAUUUACUGUUAUUUGGCCUGUUUUACAGCUUUAAAUGCAUUAUGGGGUUUGAUGUGUUCAUUUUAUAGUUUCGAAUGCAUAUAUUACUGUUUUAUUAAUUAUGGGUUGAAUGACUGAAGAACUGAUACUGUAUGUUGUCUGUUCGGCAUG
rnacentral:lncRNA from 1 species